ACUCAAAUGAAUUGACGGGGACCCGCACAAGCGGUGGAACGUGUGGUUUAAUUCGACGCUAAGCGAAAAACCUUACCGAGGCUUGACAUCUCUGGAAGGCCCUAGAAACAGGGCUGUGCCGAAAGGAACCAGAAGACAGGUGCUGCAUGGCUGCCGUCAGCUCGUGUUGUGAAAUGUUCGGUUAAGUCCGUCAACGAGCGCAACCCUCAUUGCAUGUUGUAUUUCUCAUGCAAGACUGCCCUGGUUAACAGGGAGGAAGGUGGGGAUGACGUCAAGUCAGCAUGGCUCUUACGCCUCGGGCUACACACGCGUUACAAUGGCUAGUACAAUGAGUCGCCAAAUCGCAAGAUGGAGCCAAUCUCAUCAAAACUAGCCCCAGUUCGGAUUGAGGGCUGAAAUUCGCCCUCAUGAAGUCGGAAUCGCUAGUAACCGCGAAUCAGCACGUCGCGGUGAAUACGUUCCCGGGUCUUGUACACACCGCCCGU
rnacentral:rRNA from 1 species